UGGGGGAUAUUGCACAAUGGGGGAAACCCUGAUGCAGCGACGCCGCGUGGAGGAAGAAGGUUUUCGGAUUGUAAACUCCUGUCGUUAGGGACGAUAAUGACGGUACCUAACAAGAAAGCACCGGCUAACUACGUGCCAGCAGCCGCGGUAAAACGUAGGGUGCAAGCGUUGUCCGGAAUUACUGGGUGUAAAGGGAGCGCAGGCGGGAAGACAAGUUGGAAGUGAAAACCAUGGGCUCAACCCAUGAAUUGCUUUCAAAACUGUUUUUCUUGAGUAGUGCAGAGGUAGGCGGAAUUCCCGGUGUAGCGGUGGAAUGCGUAGAUAUCGGGAGGAACACCAGUGGCGAAGGCGGCCUACUGGGCACCAACUGACGCUGAGGCUCGAAAGUGUGGGUAGCAAACAGGAUUAGAUACCCUGGUAGUCCACACCGUAAACGAUGAUUACUAGGUGUUGGAGGAUUGACCCCUUCAGUGCCGCAGUUAACACAAUAAGUAAUCCACCUGGGGAGUACGACCGCAAGGUUGAAACUCAAAGGAAUUGACGGGGGCCCGCACAAGCAGUGGAGUAUGUGGUUUAAUUCGACGCAACGCGAAGAACCUUACCAAGUCUUGACAUCCUGUGACAGACGUAGAAAUACGUUCUUCCUUCGGGACACAGAGACAGGUGGUGCAUGGUUGUCGUCAGCUCGUGUCGUGAGAUGUUGGGUUAAGUCCCGCAACGAGCGCAACCCUUAUGGUCAGUUACUACGCAAGAGGACUCUGGCCAGACUGCCGUUGACAAAACGGAGGAAGGUGGGGAUGACGUCAAAUCAUCAUGCCCUUUAUGACUUGGGCUACACACGUGCUACAAUGGCGUAAACAAAGGGAAGCAAACCUGUGAAGGCAAGCAAAUCCCAAAAAUAACGUCUCAGUUCGGAUUGUAGCCUGCAACUCGACUACAUGAAGCUGGAAUCGCUAGUAAUCGCAGAUCAGAAUGCUGCGGUGAAUACGUUCCC
rnacentral:rRNA from 1 species